GCCCCCGCCAGUGUUUGAGCCAUCCUCCACUCCGGCCUCUCACCGUACAGUCCGCCGCAGCCCGGUCAUCCUUAGUCGCACCAUCGACACACGAAGACGAGGUCAGAGCCCCUGUUGCCGCCGCAAGCGAGAGGCGAUUUGCCGUUGCGGCCGCGCCCGUCGCGCAAAUACCGGAACGCAAGUGAUCUCUUUCCUACCGCCACGAUCGAGCGGUUGCAUCGCUACAUGCACCCCCAAGGUCUUCCUCCACCGAUCUGUCCUGAACAUGCAAAUGCUGAUGUGAUGUUUUGGUUGCUCAGAUCCAUCGGUGGGAUUUCAUCAACGACAAACAUUGAUAGUGGUUCUGACAAAUAUCCAUAUAUAGUGGUUCGAUCUACAUCAGCUCGGCCCGGUAAUGCAGGAAGCUUUACAUCACAAUCGCUUGCAGUGACAAGUAAACAAUACACAUCAUGUUCGCUUCUUUUUCAAAGCUGUUAUGCCGCUGCCAGUUAAUUGCUAAUUGUAUAUCUCUGAAAUUAAUUUAUACAGCUCGAUGGGAAUGGUCCGCAUAAUGAUACCACUAAUUUAAGUGCUCGUGUUGAAGAAGAAAGCAAGCUCGGAUGAGGUACGCUUUGCUCAGUUGUAAGCAGAAGCAAACUAAGGUUCAACAGAACCAUGAGUACAAGCUGCGGAAGAACGCAUCAAUCUAAAAGUGCCACAGGUGAUGUAAUGCUCUCGAUUUUUUGCAAAAGAAAAAAAGAACUGAAGCGGUGCCACACACAAUAACAUCUGUGCACCAAGUAUUUCACUACAAUUUUACUGCACGAUUCAGGAUUUGCAUUCUAGAAAUUGGGGGUUUUGCCGUGGGGGAGGGGGCGAAAGAACCAAAAUCACUGAAAUUUUGUUACUUUUUUGGCCUAAAUUAUUUGAAAAAUUGACAAAUUUUGAACGAUUUAGAAUAAACUUUGACCAAAUUCACAAAAAACAUGAAAAAAGGGGAAAUUUCAGGUGAGAUAUAUGCUUGCCGGUGGGGGGCAAAAUUUCGAAAAUUUUGUUCCGAAAUUGUAAUCACUGGCAAGAUUCCCUGAUCGCAAUUUCCCCAUUGCAAUGUUGAGCUUGCUUUUGGCUGUCACUCUAGCUGGUAAUCACUUAAUUUCUGGAUUGUUUCAAUGGUUGGUUUGACACGAGCCUAUCAGGUUGAAAUGUUCUCAAGCUUAAAUGUAAGCGUCUCUUUCAAUUUGUACCCAGAUAUGCACAUAUAACUCCAUAGGUCAAGAGAGUUUUAUUCGAGCAGAGUUAAAUAUUUGUUUUUUUUUUUGCUUCUGCUAAAAUAGGUCCCUGGAAAGACUGAUUUUAGUAAUUUUGGUUCUAUAUAUCAUGCAGUGUACUCUACAUUUGAUCCACUUACAUUUUGCAUCUUGAUGCAUUCAUUGUAAAACAUGUACAAUGCUUGCCCAUACAUCGAUACAAUUCAUGACAGACAUGUUAUAUGCUCUUCCUAUCAAUGUUGAUAUUAUAUGCUCAGCCAGUGUGCAGGUAUAGCAGGAACAAAUGUGUAAAUAUUAGAUGCCUUGCCCAUACAAUCUCUUGAGAUAUAGCUGUUGGUACUUUCUUUUGUUCCAUGGUGCCUGUGGUAUGUUCUGCAACUUGAGCAAACAAGAUUUUCCUUUUUCUUUUCCUCUUCUUUCAUAGUUGCUAAUAGUCAUUUUCUGCACAAAGUUUUAAUUGCAUGCUACUCAAGAACCUAAGAAGUUCUGUCAUGAAGCUGUCAUUUUUCUGGUCCUUUUGGUAACAUCUAUUAGAGGACACCUGAGACCUCACCUAUAAAAACAAGUAUAUUUUGAUCACUGCUUGAUAUUAAGUGAAUAUCCCCUUUGUAUAUACCAAUGAUCAAUUUUGGAGCUCAGGACAAUGGAACCAUGGCUUCAUUUCCUUAAAAAGUGCAUCAGUUGAAUCCAGUGUAUAUUCUACAAGUUAUAAGCAUGGAUUUUGAUGUUUCUCCUCUGAUAA